UCCUACAUUUUCGAUUACCUCCUCCCCUACAAUAAUACGAUUAUUCUACCCAUGAGCACGAUAUAUCCUGCACGAUAUACAAAACGCCCGCAAUGUACUAGCAUUUUUUUUUUAUGUAUACUUCCUGUUCCGCCGGAUCAUAUAAAACGUUUCCAAAGCUGAAUUCUAUUAUUUCGGAUUUUCGAUUGUAAAUAAUGCGUAUAGUGUUGUAAUCCGUUUGUUUUAUUCGAAAAACACGUAUAUAAAUAUGUAUAUCUAUUUAUAGGUAAUAAUAUAUAUUA